GUGAAGUACGGGGCAGCGGGGGCGGGAGGACGGAGGUGGCAGUGGUGGGGCGGAGGGAUUGGGGGGAAAGAGCGUGGAGGCGGGUAUGGAGGUCCGCGGUGAAAACGGGAGGCGUAACCUGCAGACGUCGGUGGAAACCUCAUGACGAGAGUCCGGAAGAGGAGAGUGGAAUUCCUGGGGGAGCGGUGAAAUGCGCAGAGAUCAGGAAGAACACCCGUGGCGAAGGCGGCUCUCUGGGACGGUACUGACGCUGAGACGCGAAAGCGUGGGGAGCGAACAGGAUUAGAUACCCGAGUAGUC
rnacentral:rRNA from 1 species